rnacentral:siRNA from 1 species
GCAGGGGAGGGCUUCGCCGGCGUC